UGGUGCCCUAGCUCCCGCUGGGGAGACUCCCGCCGCCUGCGACUGACCCGAGGACUGGCCAUACCUGCAGAGCCUGGACGCCGACCGGGUGCUGGAAGAGCCCCUAGGCUGGCUGGUACAAAGGGACCCUGAGGAGCUGCCCAGUUUACCCCUUGCUCAGUAUCCCAAGGAGCUGCCCAGUUUACCUCUCGCUCAGUAUCCUGAGGAGCCCAUGGUGUGGGACGCUGCGGAAGAUGCCGCCGAGACAGAGGCUAAUUCAUCAGCUCACCAGACUCGUGUAGUGAGGAGGCCUGGCUCCCAGCCGCCCCAGAGAGGGGCGAACCCCAACAGCGGACGUUUACACACACAAAGGAGGGAGAGGAAUUAUUGCAGGUGAUACAAUUAGGAAUAAAGAUUAUGAAAGUGAGAGACUACAGAUUUAAAAAUGAUAAAAGGAAAUGCCUUCUUACACAACACCAUUAACUUGUGGAACUCACUGCCAGAAUAUUUCAUUAAGGCCAAGAGCUUAGCAGAAUUCAAGAAAGGACAAGACACAUGUGGAUAAUGAGAAGAGACACAACUGUGGAUAAUGACAACAUUCACUUUUAUAUUAGAAACAAUUCUAUAUUACAUAUGUAAAAUUGCAUGAUACAGGGGAUAAGCCAACCACUAACUGACAGAAGUUAGGAAGAAACUUCCCCUGUGGACAGGUUAUUCCAUAACUGUGCCCUGCAAGGUCUCUUGCACCUUUCUCUGUAGCUUCUGGUACUGGCCACUCCGACAGAGUACUAGACUGGAUGGACCACUGGCCUGAUCUCAGAUGGCACUUCCUAUGUCCCUGCAUCUCCCAACUCCCAAUCCAGUCUUUUUCCCACAAAGCCACCCUUCCCCUCAUGUAAAGUGCAUGUAGGAACCCCACAAAUGACUGAAUAUUUCAAUCAGCAUUUUCUUCGCUCUAUUAAGCAAUUGAACUUGUGUUGC